UCAGCAAUAAAUAAAUAAAUAAAUAAUAAAAAGAGUUUCUUUAUUACAAUCAGCUCUAUUUUUUAUUCAAGCCUGUAGGAAGUAGAAACAGUUUCGUUCAUUACAACAUACUGGAACUCGUGGUGAUUUAAAACAUGACCAGGUUUCUUCUUUUCUUUCAAAACAACAAACUUUCAGUGACAAAGUCUCCAAGUUCUGAAUUUGCUUCUUUUUUGUUUUUAUUCAUAUCUUUAUAAAGGGCUUUAACAUAGACAAGAGAGCAGACAAGAACAAAAAUGACCACAUAUUGACUUUUUGCACCUUCACUUUCUUCUACAGAUGAAGAAACUUCAAAGGUCUUUACAAUGUAAAGGGUAGGUGUGGGGAGUCACUACAGGGAUUCACUGGGCAGUGCAAAUAAAUAUGUAUAUUUAUAAUUAUGUGUUUAAGUUAAAAUAAUAAUAAACAGUUAUUUUGGGCUCAAAUAUUAACAGUGAAUUACAAAAAUUAGAUGACAAAACAAAAUUUUAUAUUGCUGUUGACUUCUUUUUAAAGGACUGGAGGUACUUUUGGAAAAAAAUCGAAAUCACGUAGCAUCUGCUGCCUGUAACUCCUGAUGCUACUCCCAAGAGAGCGAACAAACUGUCUGCUGCUGCAGGGAGGCACGAGGCGAUAGACAGCAUGCUGGAAAUGCACUUCUGUUCAUUUCAGUUUAGAGACCGUACAAGUGUGUGUGUGUGUGUGUGUGUGUGUGUGUGUGUGUGUGUGUGUGUGUGUGUGUGUGUGUGUGUGUGUGU